AUUGAACGCUGGCGGCAGGCCUAACACAUGCAAGUCGAACGAGUGGCGGACGGGUGAGUAAUGUCUGGGAAACUGCCCGAUGGAGGGGGAUAACUACUGGAAAAGGUGGCUAAUACCGCAUACUAUCAGAUGAGCCCAUAUGGGAUUAGAUAGUAGGUGGGGUAACGGCUCACCCAGGCGACGCUCCCUAGCUGGUCUGAGAGGAUGAGCAGCCACACUGGAACUGAGACACGGUCCAGAAUCCUACGUGAGGCAGCAGUGGGGAAUAUUGCACAAUUGGCGCAAGCCUGAUGCAGCCAUGCCGCGUGUAUGAAGAAGGCCUUCGGGUUGUAAAGUACUUUCAGCGGGGAGGCGUUACCCGCAGAAGAAGCACCGGCUAACUCCGUGCCAGCAGCCGCGGUAAUAC
rnacentral:rRNA from 1 species